rnacentral:rRNA from 1 species
UACGGAGGGGGCUAGCGUUGUUCGGAAUUACUGGGCGUAAAGCGGGUGUAGGCGGGUCGGUCAGUCAGGGGUGAAAGCCCAGAGCUCAACUCUGGAAUUGCCUUUGAUACUGCCGGCCUCGAGUAUGGGAGAGGUGAGCGGAAUUCCGAGUGUAGAGGUGAAAUUCGUAGAUAUUCGGAGGAACACCAGAGGCGAAGGCGGCUCACUGGACCAUUACUGACGCUGAGACCCGAAAGCGUGGGGAGCAAACAGG